CGCAACCCCAAUGCCGAAGCCCUACGGUGUAUCCCGUGAUCUCGCACUCACGAGAGCGACUCCUCUUCGAUCUAAAGCCCAAAGGUGGCUUCUUUCCCCGCGAAGUCAGGGGAGAAACAAUCGAGAGCCUGUGAUAGAGAGGCUAAAGGUUUAACCUUCCCCUUCAGUUUUGCGUCCAGAAGCUUGUUCUGUUAGUGCUUCUCAAGAACAUAAUGGGAAGGGAGCUUGUUCCGAUCCUUGAAAGCCACUGAAUGGCUAAGAUUUCUUUCACUAAAAUGUCUUAUUAAAUAAAAUGGCUAAGAUUUCUUUCACUAAAAUAGUUCACUAAAAUGUUCCAUUUGAACAUUCCCAAAUGUAGCUUUCACAACAUCACGGUCAUAUUUAAUGUACCAACUAUUCCAUAAGUUUCUCAAUCUCAGGAUAACUACCUAAGUAGGGAUUAAAAUAUAGGUCAUCUUUCGACAAUGUACUAUAAAUGUUGGUGCUUGAAAUUUAUAUCAGGUACAGGACAUGUGUGUCUGUCGGAGAAUGUCUGUGAACUAUUGAUGCAUGCCUCUGAACUCUGAAAUUGCAACUUUUGAUUUGUUUUUCUUCUUAGAUGUUUCCUUUACGUCACAAUCAGUACAUGUUGGUCCUGUUAAUGCUGCUACCACCAAUAAUUUUGAAGUUUGGUGAUAUAAAGAUUGACUCACUAGUUUUGAUUUGUCGUUGUAAUCAUGUGGUCUGCAGUCGAAUGAUAGAGCUAAUGUGAUCACUCUUAGAUGUUACGACUGUUCAAUGCUAAUGUGAACUAUUGAUGCAUGCCUCUGAACUCUGAAAUUGCAACUUUUGAUUUGUUUUUCUUCUUAGAUGUUUCCUUUACGUCACAAUCAGUACAUGUUGGUCCUGUUAAUGCUGCUACCACCAAUAAUUUUGAAGUUUGGUGAUAUAAAGAUUGACUCACUAGUUUUGAUUUGUCGUUGUAAUCAUGUGGUCUGCAGUAGAAUGAUAGAGCUAAUGUGAUCACUCUUAGAUGUUACGACUGUUCAAUGCUAAUGUGAACUAUUGAUGCAUGCCUCUGAACUCUGAAAUUGCAACUUUUGAUUUGUUUUUCUUCUUAGAUGUUUCCUUUACGUCACAAUCAGUACAUGUUGGUCCUGUUAAUGCUGCUACCACCAAUAAUUUUGAAGUUUGGUGAUAUAAAGAUUGACUCACUAGUUUUGAUUUGUCGUUGUAAUCAUGUGGUCUGCAGUCGAAUGAUAGAGCUAAUGUGAUCACUCUUAGAUGUUACGACUGUUCAAUGCUAGUCGCUUGGCUUGUUCACUGCUACAAAUGGUUGCCUGUCCAUGUUAAGGGUGUGAUGGAUAUAUUUUGAAAAGAAUUCUAAAAAUGUAUGAGAAGCAACAAAAUUUAAAGCAUCAUUUCCUUUGGUGCGUUCAAUUUUUUGCAUGGUGAAUAUAUGCGGAACACCAGUCACAUUAGUUCUCUAUUUUAUAAUGGUUGAUCAAUUGUUGGUUCCAUCUGGUAACUUUCCUGAUGCUUAUAUCUGAUCUUUUCUCUAUUUUGUAGAUCCUUCCAUGAAGCCAUUCUUCAUUUGUCAUAUUUGUAUAUAUUAUUUUUCUCCUUUUUUGUCUAUAAAGUUCUAUUCUCAUAAUUAACGAGCUCAUUUUUUUAGGCAACAACACUUGAUUUCUCAAUAUCUUAAGAUAAUUCAUCCAUAUCAUAAGAUGCUUGAAAUGUCGCAAACCCAAUCCAGUUGGCUAUUUGUUUAAUCUACGUGUCCUAGGAGUUUUGAAGUGGUGCCAAAUUUUUAUCCAAUCUGCUUUUUUUUUUGCAGUUCUGUUACUUGGUCAUCAUGUUCUAAAUAAUUUUUCCUGGACAAGUUUAUAGUUUCUUAAGUACUACUUUAGGUUCAUUGUUCCAUCAGAAUAAAUGAAAUAUAGUUCUGUAGCCACGUAGGGUCUAAGCUGCAGGCUGCCAACAUGUAAGCAUGAGAUUUAAAAAAUUGGCUUCAAUGCGAUAUUUGUCUGAAUUUGUUCAAUGUGUCCUGGUGUGAAAAAGUUGUCCCACUUCGUUCCAACUAUGUAGGCUGCAAGAGAAUUCCAGAAUCUGUAAGCUGAAGCUUAGAGGCCAUAUCUCUCACUUGACAUGUAAAUUCUCUUUUUGCUUUAAAGUUUGAACUAUGAAAUCUAGACUGAUUAAGGAGAAUUUUCCAAGUAGUUGACUUAUGUCUCUGUUAUGUUAUUCCAUCUUUUAUCUCAGAAAGCACAAAUGGUUCCAAGAUCUAUUAAAAUAGUGGCUCAAGCUCUGCCUGGAUGUUAGUACAUUCAAUUCCUUCAAGUCUGUCCUCAUCACUGAGGAACAUUGCAACUUGCUCAUCCACAAAACAUAACAAACAAAGUGGGAAAAUAAUUUUUUCUAUAAAAACUUUAUUGAUACAAUUUCCUUCUACAUCCUUAGGUGUCCUAGAUAUAUACUAUUUUCUGUAUAGGACUCUAAGCAUGGAGGGCCUAGCUUGCAAUGCCUUCCUACCAUUGUGAUUGUCAAGUGAGAGACACUACAGUGUGCAGUUUUAUGAAAGAGAAGCCACGAAUUUUGGCCAUCUAUAAGCUAUUAUUUCAUUCAAUUUCAUCUUGUAAAUAGCAAAGCAUUGAGAGCAAAUAGAAUUUGUUCUAGUUUUGUAAACUGAGGAAAUAUGUGUAUAACAAAAAACAUAACUAGAAGAUGAAGGUAAACACAAGUUCUGACUAAGAUUGCAUUUAUCUUGGAGUUAAAUGAUUGAGGUUCAUCAUCUAUACUAUCAACUUUUGAUCCAAUGUAUACAACAUCAUAUUUUUUUAGUGUCAUUUUUAUGUUAGACAUUAUUUUAUAUAAGAAAAAUGGUCUGUUCUUGUGAAAUUCUUCUCUUAUAUUGUAUAGUAAAGAAAUUAUAUCUGAUAAUGCUGUGAUGUGUCCUCUUUGAUUUAGUUUUGAGAAAGGGUUCUGACUUUUAUAGUUCUAGUUUCUCUAGUAACCUGCUAAUUUUGUAUUUAAAGCCCAUUUUGUUUUUGUUUUUUUCUGGUUUCCUUACUUUGUGCUGAUGUCAUUUAUUAGCUCGUAACAACUCCACAUGCUUUUAAUCAUACUGCAGAAGGAAUUUUCUUCUUAGCUUGCAACAUAUUCUACAAAAAUGUAAGGAGAACUGACAAAGUAUCAGGAACACAAGCUGACUAUUUUAGAUGUACUACUAAAUGCAGGAUACUGACAAGGUUAUAUAAAAGUGUUUCUUUUUCUCAGAUUGUAGUAAGAACUAGGUUUCACUGGUAGUAUUAAGUAAUGAAUGGUGGAAAAGUAAUGAGUGAAAGGCUUAUUGUUUCUCCCUAUGGCCUUUAUUAUCCCGACAGUUGUUUUUAUCAAUUAAUUUUGCAGGUAAGAUAAGGAAGAAAACAGCUUCAAUUAUGUAAAAUAGAAUACAUAGUGACAAAGUAACACAAUUAGAAGUAAGAAUUUGUUGGUUUUGUUUUUUUUUUAUAUGUCAGAUGUGCAUCCCAUUCUACCCUUAUGCCUAGGCUAUAUUUAUAAAUUGCAGAACUACGAUGUUUCUCAAUUUUUAUCAUGGAGUAAGGAGCAUUAGUAAAUACAGAAGUGUAGCUGAUUGUAAGAGAUGCAAUAUACUGAUCUGCAAUAUUUACGCGCAAACUAAAAUUUUGAUGUAUAAAAAACCUCUCUAUGUUGUUGGUGAUGUCUUUUUAGGUUCAUAUAUCAAUCACAUUUAGUUGCUGUCUAAAGGACAGUGGACUAUAUUGAUCUUUCUGACAAUCAUCAUUCUCAACUAGUUUAUGUGCACUAGCCAUUGGAAUAUAUUCACUCGUGAGUCGUGGCUAUGGAUCUUGGCAUCAAUUGAUUGUUAUGCUGUUAUUCUCAUUCAUGGAGAUCAUCCGCGUAUGCUCACUAUAUGAAUGUGGUAUUUUGCCAUCAAAAAGUCUCGGUAGUCUGGUUGUUUGUUCUCUUUUUUCUGCCAUGUCUCAUAUGCUUUGCAUUUGGUAAAUGCAUUUAUUCUAAGAUUUGAUAUAAUUCACCAUGUACUUAUUGUUGUGUUUGAUCUCUGUGGCUUCUUUCUCCACAAUUUUGCAGUAGUACUUUUCAUCGAGUACAUUUUUCAACUUGUAAUUUGGGUCCAUCCUUGUAGAUAAGGAUUUAGAUUGAUAAAGAAGUGCUAUUCUUCAUCAAAUUUGUUAAACAUAAAUGAUUUCAGAAUGUACUAUUUGAGUUCACAUAUAAUAAUCAUGUUGACUAGUGCGCAUGGGUUCACGUACUCAAGUUCUAGUGAUCAAACAUGUGGAGGUAAACACUUUACAUCAUCAAAUUUUUAAACAAUUUGGUAGAUGAAGGCAAGUUUUUUUAACCCUAAAGUAAACUUCAAAUUAUUGACCUGUGUUCGGCAAGUUCCUGAGAGUAUGCUGUAAUAAUUGGAAAAACCUUGCCUUGGGUAAUUUCAUAUAAAUUUGCUUGAUGCAUUGUGCUGCCUUGUCCUUCCAGUUAAAAAUGGUGUUUUAAAAUGAUCUGAAUUCUAUCUGUAGUUUGUUUUUCCUUUUUUGAUUCGGAUUCUCUUGUCACCAUUUAUUCAUGAGAACUGUCUUUCUUUUCCAAAAGACAAAUUAACUGUUAAGAGAAUACAUGAAUUUGGUUUGUUCCUCGUACAGUUAACUUUUUGUUUUUGCUAUGUUUUUCCUGGCACUGUUUCUUGAUGUUUGUUUACUUGAUUCAUAGAAUAUACAAUAAUCAUGUGUUAUCAGAGAUGCCAAAGUUUGUCUCUUGUUCCCUAUGCCAUUAUAGAAGAUUUGUUUUUUCCCUUUGAGAAGAUUCUGCAUAAGAACAUGUUAUUUGUCUGCUCUUACUGUCUCAGCUAGUUCAUAGGCAGUCUGCUUUUAGUCUACGGUACCUUGAUUGCUGUAUCCUCAUUUAUGGUUUUUGUAUACAAUCAAUGAAAUUGAGUUGCCAUUGAAAUGGUUGGCGGUUAUCAUCUAAUUGAUAGGCUUCAUGGUUAUCAAUCUUGAUAUGUAGAUAGUCCGUGGCACUUCCAGCAUAUUACUCUUUCCUGUGAAAAGCACAUUCAAAAUUUACUUCACUGAAGUUUUGGUGGUGCAACAACCGGAAGGAGAUUUUUGCUAUCUUAACCUGCUUUAUAGGAUCAAUGCUUCUUACUAACUAGUUCUCUUUGUCAUUUUCUGUCGCUCUGAAAGUGCAGUACUGGUUUGGAAAUCGGCGAGCAAUCUAAUUAUCUUGUGCUUCUACUUCCUGAAAGAUUCUGCUAAAAAACCACUGUCAUGUUUAUAUAUUGUCUCUCUAUUCUUCCCUUCCUUUUAACUAGUAUUUGCAAUAGUAUCAUGGCUAAGCUCAAUAUUUCUACCACACCAGGCUGCAUCUUACUGUUGUGUUUGCAUUAAAUUCCUAUUACCUGAUCUGAAUUUCAUGUUGUCCUCUAUGAUGAAAGUGUUUAGGUAUCUAAAUAGUCACUGAUUUGGAGGUUUUAGUCCUCUUUUCAUGUGAUUUGUUGUAUGGGUCACAUGUGUAUCUACUGCCUUCUCUUGUACAAUGUGUGUAUAUUUAUUGAUAGAACUAUCAGUUAUGUAUAAAUCUGCAUUAUUCUUUUUCCUUGGCUGUUGAUGAUCCAGGUCGACAUCGGGUUUCUUCUAAUCAAGUGAUCAGGAUACAUAACAGCUGGCCCCUAACCAAGUGUGCAGGUUAAGAAAGUUCAACUUGUUGAUGCAACUCAGCUCUGUUGAAAGCAAAAGAAAGGAAGAAUACCAGGAAUGUAAGAAUGAGCCUCAGGACCAAAAAGCCUUUGUGGAACAAGAAAGACACACACAUCAAAAAGGAAUAAAAAGGCAGGGAAAGUAAAAAAGGCCUUGACUUUCCCACUCUGCUACCAAGGUAUCAGCAUCAGGAGGAGAGCCCAUUAAAGAGAUUCACAUCCAUUGGAAAGAUGAUGCAGAUGGUGGCUCCCUACCAAAAUAAACAAUAGGUAUGCACCAGUGCCACAAGAUGCUUCAUCUAAUGCCCACACUUUACCUGAAACUGGCACAGCAUAGGCAUGUGUCUCAUACUUUCCCUAGACUUGAAAGACCUCAGAUUCUAGGUAAUGCCUAGAAGGUUAUGGCCAGUAAUAGAUUAUGUGAGAUUGGCACGCACAUCCUUUUUCUGGUUGUUCUGCUGGUUCAUGAUGAUCCAAGUGGCAGUGCUGCCAUGGUUGAGAGUUAUAGCCAAACCAUUCCCUGUUCCUUACCUUUAAAUGCUUCCAAAAUGAGGUAAAAUUAGUCGAGUAGCUAUCAGAUGAACGAAAAAGAGGUGGACAGAAAGAAAUAUUGGCUUCAGAAGUCUAUUAAUCUAUGUUGGCUGCUGGAAAAGAGUUGUUAUAAUGCAUCUCCAAGAGCUACCGACAGCAAGCCGAGAC